rnacentral:rRNA from 1 species
UACGUAGGGGCUAGCGUUGUCCGGAUUUAUUGGGCGUAAAGAGCGUGUAGGCGGCCAGGUAGGUCUGCUGUGAAAACUCGAGGCUCAACCUCGAGACGUCGGCGGAAACCAUCUGGCUAGAGUCCGGAAGAGGAGAGUGGAAUUCCUGGUGUAGCGGUGAAUGCGCAGAUAUCAGGAAGAACACCCGUGGCGAAGGCGGCUCUCUGGGACGGUACUGACGCUGAGACGCGAAAGCGUGGGGAGCGAACAGG